rnacentral:rRNA from 1 species
CGAGCGGAUGACGGGAGCUUGCUCCUUGAUUCAGCGGCGGACGGGUGAGUAAUGCCUAGGAAUCUGCCUGGUAGUGGGGGACAACGUUUCGAAAGGAACGCUAAUACCGCAUACGUCCUACGGGAGAAAGCAGGGGACCUUCGGGCCUUGCGCUAUCAGAUGAGCCUAGGUCGGAUUAGCUAGUUGGUGGGGUAAUGGCUCACCAAGGCGACGAUCCGUAACUGGUCUGAGAGGAUGAUCAGUCACACUGGAACUGAGACACGGUCCAGACUCCUACGGGAGGCAGCAGUGGGGAAUAUUGGACAAUGGGCGAAAGCCUGAUCCAGCCAUGCCGCGUGUGUGAAGAAGGUCUUCGGAUUGUAAAGCACUUUAAGUUGGGAGGAAGGGCAUUAACCUAAUACGUUAGUGUUUUGACGUUACCGACAGAAUAAGCACCGGCUAACUCUGUGCCAGCAGCCGCGGUAAUACAGAGGGUGCAAGCGUUAAUCGGAAUUACUGGGCGUAAAGCGCGCGUAGGUGGUUUGUUAAGUUGGAUGUG